ACGACUGCUAGUUUAAGUAACCAGCAGAUAUUGUCCUCAUGCUAGCUAGCAGUAGCAGCCAUUAUGGAAUGGGGUCGCGUUGAACAACAAAGGAGCUGAUUGGCUGACACUGCCAUUCCAAAAUGGCUGCUGUGGCUUCUUGUUAUCUAUCAUGAGGACAAAAAGGACUGUGUUCCGGAAAAACUAGCUAGCCUUCGUUCAAUCUUCUCCGUGUAACGUUAUCAGUUGUCAUAUUUGGACAAUUCGGAGUAUAAUGCAUUUCUCAUCCCUGGAUAGAGGUGGGUCCUAUCUAAAAGAUGGGGUACGGUGCAGCGGAACACUCCAGUAAGUAGCCUAGUUUACAGCUUCACCUCCUGGCAUGUUUUAGCUGAAGUAGUCUGUCUACAUGAUCAUGUUUUAAAUGAGGCAUAUUUUCCUAAUGUACGUAACCCGAGUGGUGCAGUCGUCUAAGACACUGCAUGAGGUGUCACUGGUGUACCUGGUUCGAAUCCAGGCUGCAUCACAUCCGGCCGUGAUUGGGACUCCCAUAGGGCGGCGCACAAUUGGCCCAGCGUCGUCCGGGUUUGGCUGUCAUUGUAAAUAAGAAUUUGUUCUUAACUGACUUUCCUAGUUAAAUGAUGGUUAAAUUUAAAUUAUACAAAAAUACAUUAUACUGCAGCAUUACUACUCACUGAUUGAAUAAUAGUUUAAAAUCAAAUUUUAUUUGUCACUUGCGCCGAAUACAACAGGUGUAGUAGACCUUACAGUGAAAUGCUCACUUACAAGCCCUUAACCAACAAUGCAGUUUUAAGAAAAUACCAACAACAAAAAAGAGAUAAGAAUAAGAAAUAAUUAAAGAGCAACAGUAAAAUGAUUGUAUUUAUUUUCUUUAACCUUUAUAGACAAGUCAGUCUAGACAAGUCAGUUAAGAACAAAUUCUUAUUUACAAUGACGGCCUACCAAAAGGCAAAAGGCCUCCUGCUGGGAUUAAAAAAUAUAUAAAAUAAAUACAAAAUGAAUAUAGGACAAAAUGCACAUCACAACAAGAGAGACAACACAAAACUACAUAAAGAGAGACCUAAGACAACAACAUAGCAAGGCAGCAACACAUGGCAACACAGCAUGGUAGCAACACAUGGCAACACAGCAUGGUAGCAACAUAACAACAUGGUAGCAGGAGGGCUAGGGUCAGUUUGUUAUAUCUGGAGUACUUCUGUCUUAUCCGGUGUCCUGUGUGAAUUUAAGUAUGCUUUCUCUCUUUCUCUCUCUCGGAUGACCUGAGCCCUAGGACCAUGCCUCAGGACUACCUGGCAUGAUGACUCCUUGCUGUCCCCAGUCCACCUGGUCGUGCUGCUGCUCCAGUUUCAACUGUUCUGCCUGCGGCUAUGGAACCCUGACCUGUUCACCGGACAUGCUACCUGUCCCAGACCUGCUGUUUUCAACUCUCUGGAGACCGCAGGAGCGGUAGAGAUACUCUUAAUGAUCGGCUAUGAAAAGCCAACUGACAUUUACUCCUGAGGUGCUGACUUGCUGCACCCUCGACAACUACUGUGAUUAUUAUUAUUUGACCAUGCUGGUCAUUUAUGAACAUUUGAGCAUCUUGGCCAUGUUCUGUUAUAAUCUCCACCCGGCACAGCCAGAAGAGGACUGGCCACCCCUCAUAGCCUAGUUCCUCUCUAGGUUUCUUCCUAGGUUUUGGCCUUUCUAGGGAGUUUUUCCUAGCCACCGUGCUUCUACACCUGCAUUGCUUGCUGUUUGGGGUUUUAGGCUGGGUUUCUGUACAGCACUUUGAGAUAUCAGCUUAUGUAAAAAGGGCUAUAUAAAUAAAUUUGAUUUGAUAUAGAGGGAGAGUGAGUUCAUAGAGAGAACAAAGGAAUUUCUUCCACCUCACAGAACUGGAGAACCGAACGACAUUUAUGUUCUGGAGAAGGUAUAAAAGAUCGGUUAAGAAUCCAGCUACGAACUGGUCCGUUUGGUACAAUUUUGUGAAACUCAGAUAUGAGGCUUACAUCAAAUUGUUGUAUAAGAUGAAUGAGUGAGGAUGAUACUGUUUGUGAAAUUAUGUAAUGUGAUUUUGGACUGUUUAAUGAAGGAAACUCCAAUUCCCUUUGGAGAUUAACUAAAUCAGAGGACCGCCAAUGACCACAGUUAUGGUCUGGCGUCCUGGGACAGGCCCUUUUCUGCUCUUCCGAAUAAAACCCCCACCCGGGUUUUCUAUCACCAGACCAGCUUACCUCGAUAACGAGAGGGCCAAGGUUUGAGAGGAGACCGAGCUUACCUCAAUUACGAGAUGGCUAAAGGUUGCAGACCAGCUUACCACGAGAGGGCCAAGGUUUGAGUAGACGGCUGAAUCUUUUAACCAUACCACGUGGUUAAACUCUUAGACUAUCGAUACCGACAGAAUAAGAACAAGUCUUUGAUAUUAAUUACUAGUCUGCAGCUAGGAAUUUGGUAUCAUUGAACGCGAAGACCGACAACCGCCGAAACAUCUAUUCUAUAAAGACAUGAAUGAAUGUCACUCUGAACUAUCCAUUCUAACCACGACAGAGAGAGGGCGGACAAACUCUCCCAAAUAAACUUUUCAACAGAGAUCCCGACGACACACUGAGCGUAAAUAUAUACACUGCUCAAAAAAAAUAAAGGGAACACUUAAACAACACAAUGUAACUCCAAGUCAAUCACACUUCUGUGAAAUCAAACUGUCCACUUAGGAAGCAACACUGAUUGACAAUAAAUGUCACAUGCUGUUGUGCAAAUGGAAUAGACAAAAGGUGGAAAUUAUAGGCAAUUAGCAAGACACCCCCAAUAAAGGAGUGGUUCUGCAGGUGGUGACCACAGACCACUUCUCAGUUCCUAUGCUUCCUGGCUGAUGUUUUGGUCACUUUUGAAUGCUGGCGGUGCUCUCACUCUAGUGGUAGCAUGAGACGGAGUCUACAACCCACACAAGUGGCUCAGGUAGUGCAGCUCAUCCAGGAUGGCACAUCAAUGCGAGCUGUGGCAAGAAAGUUUGCUGUGUCUGUCAGCGUAGUGUCCAGAGCAUGGAGGCGCUACCAGGAGACAGGCCAGUACACCAGGAGACGUGGAGGAGGCCGUAGGAGUGCAACAACCCAGCAGCAGGACCACUACCUCCGCCUUUGUGCAAGGACGAGCACUGCCAGAGCCCUGCAAAAUGACCUCCAGCAGGCCACAAAUGUGCAUGUGCCAUCCAGGACCUAUAUACUAGGCGGUGUCGGAGGAAAGCCCAUCAAAUUGUCAGAGACUGUUUUCUCUGCUAGCGCAAGGCAAGCGGUCCCGGAGCGGCAAGUCUAGGACCAAAAGGCUCCUUAACAGCUUCUACCCCCAAGCCAUAAGACUGCUGAACAACUAAUCAAAUGGCCACCGGACUAUUUACAAUGACACGACCCCUCCGUUUAUUAUCCAUGCAUAGUCACUUCACCCCUACUUACAUGUACAAAUUACCUCAACUAACCUGUAUCCCUGCACACUGACUCGGUACCGGUGCCCCCUGUAUAUAGCCUCGUUAUUCUUAUUGUGUUACUUUUUAGUAUUAUUUUUUACUUUAGUCUAUUUGUUAAAUAUUUUCUUAACUCUUCUUGAACUGCACUGUUGGUUAAGGGCUUGUUAGUAAGCAUUUCACGGUACGGUCUACACUUGUUGUAUUUGGUGCGUGUGACAAAUAAUGUUUGUUUUGAUUUGAUUAAAUGAUUAAUACAAACAGGGUAA